rnacentral:rRNA from 1 species
GUCAUACAUUUUAUAUAUUUGUUUUUUUGGGGGUGCGUGAACUUAUAUUAUAAGUAAGAAUACUUAUGUAAAAUAAAGGGACGAUAAGACCCUAGAAGCUUUAAUUAUGUAAUGUAUAGGACAAUUGUAUUUAUUAUUUUUGCAUGUAUAAAUUUUGAUUGGGGAAAUAUUAGUUUUUAAAAUAGCUUUUUUAAGUAGUUUUAAUAUAUUAUGGGAUCUUUUAUAUAAGAAUGAAUAGUAUUAGUUACUCUAGGGAUAACAGCGUAAUAAUUUUGGAUAGGCCACAUAUAUAAAAUUGAUUACGACCUCGAUGUUGAAUUAAAAUAUCUUUAUAAAGUAGAAAUUAUAUAAGA